rnacentral:misc_RNA from 1 species
GCUAACAGUGACAAGCACUAGUAGAGGAGAUUCGAAUAGUAUUUAGU